AAACCCCAUCAGCCAAGUCCGCCCCCCAUCUCCUCAUUUCCACGCCUCAAACAUGUCCAACUUGCUCAAAUCACACCCAAAACCGAGCGAAUCAACUGGCUGAGUUUUUUGUCCCCCCCCCCCUUCUCUUCACCUUGUUCCACGUAGCAAAAUCCCAACGAUUUUAUCAUUUUGAUCUGAUUCACAAGUCUCUACAUUCUUUUUGUGUUUUUUUUUUGGAAAGAAAAUCCGGACCCUUGAAUGAAUCUUGGAAGAAUGGGAACCAUUGGGUAAAGAUUUUUGUCUAAAAACUCAAUUUUUUCGAUUUUUGUUUGUGAAAGGGGAUAUCCAGAUUUGAUUUUGGGGUCCACAAGGUUUUGGGAUUUCUUGGAGAAGAGGAGAAGAAGCUUCUAGGGCUUCGUAUAUAUUUGGAGCAUUUGGACAGAAUUUUGGGGGUUCACGGAGAGAGAGCAGAAAAAUUAGGUUGAAUUCUAAGUUUCUUCUGGUUUUUGUUUCUUCUGUUUUACUUUUCGGUUCAUAACGAAAAAACGCUAAUAAAUUCAUUUCUUGAGUUAGAAGAAUUCGAAUUUUCAGAAAAUAAAUGCACAAAAAAGAAAUAAAAUUUUAGUUUCUCAUUUUGAUUCUGGCAUUCAAGACGGAGAUUGAUUGAGCCGUCGUUCGAGUUCGAGUUCGUUGGUUUUGCAUCGUGUUACUUUCCAGCUACAGUCACAUUCAAAUUUUUAUUGCCCUUGUAUUCGAUUCCAAACAAAAUUAAUCAAAAGCUGUUGCACUCAGAUUCAUUUCCUCGCUCUCUUUGAUUCUGCUUGGUUUCCGAUUGAAAUCGGAUGUGAGUAUAGAACAAUACGAUCGAACUCGCAUGUUUGUAGGGUCAGAAUUUUUCUAGUUUUGAAUGUGGUUUGUCGUCGCCUUGCGCAUUUAUUCAUAGUUUCGUAAACGGUGUUGAUACUCAGUAACUGGUAUUUUAAUGGGUGAUUAUCAAUAGCCUUUGUUCGUAUAUGCUGGUUUGAGAUAGGAUCACUCAGGGCAUUAGUUUGAUAACCUACAGGGAGUUCUUGUAGUUUACUUAGAAUUCAAAUAUGAGUUUAGCAUUUUAAUUUGCGGAUAUAUUCAAGAACAUUUUCCCCUCUGCCUAGAAUACAUGACCAUUUAUGCUUUGUUUCUUCUAUUGGAGAGGGAUUAAUCAAUUGGUUAAGGCUUAAAUGACUGGCUCAUUGGUUCUCAUUUUGUGAGCUUGUCCAGUUUCAUUUUUAGUUUGAACAAAAACUAUUUGUCUCCUCCAAUGGAUGUUCAUAUGGUGUCAAAGAGGUUUGUCAAUUUUAGAACAUUGACCAAGCUUGAAUUCGCUAGGUUUUCGGUAUUUUACCGUUGAAACUCGACUAUUUUAGUGACUGCUAAGUGAAUCGUGAGAUAGGGAUUGUUUUUGCUUGCAACAUCCACGAGUUAUUUUGUACGUUCUUGAUGGCCUAAAUUUUUUGAACUCUCCCUUGAUGAUCCCUGUGUAGUGUCGAAUCUGCCUGUUCUCUUAGUGUCUUAAGACAUGUUUUGUUGUGUUAAGUCUAAAAAACAGAAUCUGAAUCCUUCUACAUGCUUACCACUUUUGCAAUGCUUGAAUCCGCGUGUUGUUCCAUUCUUUCUUUCCCGACUAAUUAAUUAGCCCUUUCUUUGUUUCAUAUCUUUGAUUGUUACUGUUGGGUCUUCUGGUCUCGGUUGAAGCUGUUUGACCGAUUAUUUGGUCGGGGAGGGUUAAAUCACAAAUGAACUGAAGAUUGAACCUCAUCAUGAAAUAUCUCUAUUUUUAGCUCAAUUUUUACUUUUCUUACAUAAUCGAUAGGAGAAUGUUAGGCCGACCACACUUGGAUAGGUAAUCUUAGGAUUUUUAUUUGCUUUUGAUUUCGAGGCUAGAGGUCCUCCCUUAGUUAAAUUUAUCCGGGGAAUUCCCCAAGGACCUGUGUAUAUUUUAUUCCGGGGAGUGCCCCAAAGUACUUGUAUUUGGAGGCCCAAAUGUGAAACUCAUAGUAUUUUUGUUUUAGUUCUAUUUUCCUUUUAUUAGGUGGGAGUGACCUCGAACCUCUUGUGUGUUUAUUUUUCUUUUCUAUGUUUGUUCUCAAUUUGAAUAUUCUAAAAUCCAACUGGAUCAUGUACGCAAUCGUGACAUUGACGGGUCUUGGGGAGUGCCUAACACCUUCUCCCCGAGUCAAAUGAACCCCUGCCUGAAUCUCUAGUCCAAACUUAGUUUUGAGUCCAAGUGUUUUCAAAGGAAAAUAUUUUCUAAAACAAUCAGUGGCCUGGCACACCGAAAUCCAAUGCCAGGUGGAGACUCUGAGUUAAUCCUUUUGAACAAAAAUUUUAUCACUUUCAAAAUUGAAAAUCUUUUCAAUCUUUACUUAAUUCUUUUAUAUAUUUUAAUACGGUUUAGAGGGUUUGUUAAGAAAAGGGGUGUGACAUCUCUGCGACUCUGCUGGGGACUUGCAGGUUUGAGCUAGUACUUGAUUUUUUUAGCUUUUAGAAUAUCUUUUUGAGGUUUUAUGUUUUCUUAAUUAGCUUUACUUAAUUUUUAUUAUAUUUUUUUAUUGUUUUUAUUUGCCAGUUGUUUAUGUGUUUACAGUUUUUCCUUUAUGUGUUUACUCAUUUAUAAUUGUCAUCGCAUAACCCUAAGUCAUCUUUCUACAACAAGUCUUUCGGAGUAUGUUUGAGCGUACACGACCUUUGUGUGAGUCACCCGUGUCUUUAGGAGGGGCGUGGGAGCGUGGAGUGAGCGGACAGCUAGGGCAGCUUCCAUCGACCACGUGCCGCCCCGGAUAGCCUUGUCUAGUGAACCCCAACCGUAGGUCAGCCUUUUUUUGGUAAUUAAAAGUUAUAUUAAUCACCAAAGAGAUUUCAUUACAAAGCCAUAGUGCAGCUACUACACAGUUGACUAUCAUAUCUAGAUUCUAUAUUAACUAUCGCUAUACCUAUCCCUCUAUUUACAGAAAAUAUUGCUGAAACUGUAACCUAAU
rnacentral:lncRNA from 1 species